UGGGGCGUCGCCAAGUGGUAUAAGGCAACGGGUUUUGAUCCCGGUACUGCGAAGGUUCGAAUCCUUUCGCCCCAA
rnacentral:tRNA from 2 species